GGGUCAGUGGUUGGUCGUGCCACCGGUACGUACUGGUCUCACUGAUUCCUCCUUCCUGAAGAACCGUAAUGCCAUUAAUUUGAUGUUGCGGGGAAACAGGACUGUUACUUUGAAAAAAUUAGAGCGUUUAAAGCAAGCUAACGCUUGAAUACAUUAGCAUGGAAUAAUGAAAUAGGACGAUCGAUCCUAUUUUGUUGGUUUCUAGGAUUGACGUA
rnacentral:rRNA from 1 species